UCCCUGGAAGUCCAGCGGUUAGGACUCAGCACUUCUGCUGCAAGGGCCUAGGUUCAGUCCCUGGUUGGGGAA
rnacentral:tRNA from 1 species